rnacentral:tRNA from 1 species
GGGGCGGUAGCUCAGUUGGUCAGAGCCCCGGACUCAUAAUCUGGUAGUCGUCGGUUCGAGCCCGACCCGCCCCACCA